ensembl:lncRNA
GGGUGGGGAGGUCGAGGGGUUUAUAAACAUCAUGGACACGAGUUCAUCUCUACAGUAGAGACGAAUCACACUCAAAGACUGUCCUGCCACUCUUCUCUGUGUUAACAUCUGAAUUAUCCACAAAUCUCUAAAUCUACUUUUACUUUAGGUUUCUAUUCCCUCCUUACAGUCAAGGACAGACAGAUGCUCGGCAUAGAGGAGAUGGGACUAAAUCCAAACUCUGCAGGGCUGAGCUGUGGCGUUAAACCACAGGCGUACGAUUGGUGGCCAGCUGAGCAGCAGCAGUAUCUCAAUCCGACCAGCAGGGGGCAAAAUAACAUGCCACAGACUCAAAGCACUGCUGCUGAUACUUCCGUCCAUCCUCUCGUUCCUCUCCUCCUCUACAGCGACAGACACUUCCCCUCUUCCUCUCUGUACAGCCAGCCAGUCAGCGCUGCUGCUGCCCAGCAGGUCUCCGCCCAGUCCGGGCAGCACACCUGUUA